rnacentral:rRNA from 1 species
UACGGAGGGGGCUAGCGUUGUUCGGAAUUACUGGGCGUAAAGCGCGCGUAGGCGGACCUGCAAGUCGGGGGUGAAAGCCCGAGGCUCAACCUCGGAACUGCCUUUGAUACUGAGGAUCUUGAGUUCGGGAGAGGUGAGUGGAACUGCGAGUGUAGAGGUGAAAUUCGUAGAUAUUCGCAAGAACACCAGUGGCGAAGGCGGCUCACUGGCCCGAUACUGACGCUGAGGCACGAAAGCGUGGGGAGCAAACAGG